rnacentral:rRNA from 1 species
UACGAAGGGGGCUAGCGUUGCUCGGAAUGACUGGGCGUAAAGGGCGCGUAGGCGGAUGGCACAGUCAGAUGUGAAAUCCCCCGGGCUUAACCUGGGAAUGGCAUUUGGGACUGCAAGGCUGGAGUACGGUAGAGGAGACUGGAAUUCCUGGUGUAGCAGUGAAAUGCGUAGAGAUCAGGAGGAAUACCGAUGGCGAAGGCAGGUCUCUGGGCUGAUACUGACGCUCAUGCACGAAAGCGUGGGGAGCAAACAGG